AUUGAACGCUGGCGGCAUGCCUUACACAUGCAAGUCGAACGGUAACAGGUUAAGCUGACGAGUGGCGAACGGGUGAGUAAUGUAUCGGAACGUGCCCAGUCGUGGGGGAUAACUGCUCGAAAGAGCAGCUAAUACCGCAUACGACCUGAGGGUGAAAGCGGGGGAUCGCAAGACCUCGCGCGAUUGGAGCGGCCGAUAUCAGAUUAGGUAGUUGGCGAGGUAAAGGCUCACCAAGCCGACGAUCUGUAGCUGGUCUGAGAGGACGACCAGCCACACUGGGACUGAGACACGGCCCAGACUCCUACGGGAGGCAGCAGUGGGGAAUUUUGGACAAUGGGCGCAAGCCUGAUCCAGCCAUGCCGCGUGCGGGAAGAAGGCCUUCGGGUUGUAAACCGCUUUUGUCAGGGAAGAAAAGGUUCUGGCUAAUACCUGGGACUCAUGACGGUACCUGAAGAAUAAGCACCGGCUAACUACGUG
rnacentral:rRNA from 1 species